rnacentral:rRNA from 1 species
AUGUAAAUUCUUACAACAUAGCAUUAAUGCAUCAGAUCCCAUUAGAACUCCACAUUUAAGCGUGUUUGGGCUAGAGUAGUACUGGGAUGGGUGAUCACCUCGAAAGUCCUAGUAUUUUACAUU